CCAAAGGUUCCUUUUGGAACCUUUGCAAACAAAAUGACAAAAUGAAU
rfam:Glossina brevipalpis unplaced genomic scaffold Scaffold474, whole genome shotgun sequence.